rnacentral:lncRNA from 1 species
AUGGAGUCAUGGGCACUGGUAGUUUUACUGCAGCGCACCCACCCUGCUUGUCCCCUGUGCCGUGUGCCUUCUCUUAGGGACGCCAUUGCAAGAAGAAGCAUGCCUCCAAGAGACAAGAGGACAGAACAAGACACAAUAAGGCAAAAGCUCUCAUAUGGAGGGUGGACAGGGCAACCCAAGAGGAGGAAAAAACCCAAGAGCAGUCUUCUCUUCAGAAGCUUUGAUGGAGACUGUGGGUGCAUUCGCGGUCCCAGCUGGAGGCUGCUCUUUUGGGAUGUUUGGAGGAUGGGUCAGCUUUCCAGUUGUAAAAGCAUUUGUUGA